UAGGUUGUGUUCAAGUGACAAAAAAGUUCAAGAUCAAAGAAACAGAUCACGGGUGGAUGUGUUUUUCAAAUAUGGAAUAUUAAAUUGGCAAAGAUCAAGCACAACAUACAGAUCAUGGACAAAGGUGUUGUUAGAUCUGGAGCACAAACGUUGCAGGUGGAUGUUGCACACAACCUGGCACUCCAGUAUAAAAAGCACCAGAAGUGCUUUUGUCAGCCUCAAAAGCUACAGAUGUAUGGAGUUUAUCUGCUACUGUGGUGGAUCUUCUUUCCGACGAAGUGAUCUGGAAAAGAAUCAAAUGACGCAAAAAGAACAAACGGAAGUACUUUGGAAAAAUACAUCUAUGAGUCGAUGCAAACUAAGAAACAGCCAGACGCACUUAAAAGUCUUGAAAGUAAAGAUCUACCUGUAGAACGAAGGAAGUGUUUCGAAUGGUUUGAACUACAAACAAUCUGCAAAACCAUCUGCAACAAAUAUCUGUCGAAUUUCAGAGAAAGCUUAGAAGACUAGGAGGUUUCUUUGCAGAACUGCUUUUUCAAAGCUAAAGAAUGUUUAACCGAGCGAUCCGACUUUUCUCUUUCCGACAAAUAUCGUUCCGAGAGACUAGCAAUAUUCAGCUUUUAGAAUAUGUCCAAACUGUAGUGAAUUUGGUCUUUUCAAUUCUUAUUAUUGACAUAGUAAUGUUUUGACAUUUUUGGCAUAGGAAGUGACCCUUUACACACCUGUUUCAGGCUUUAUGGUUGAUCACUAAAUGAUGCUAUAUGUGCACAACUAUGUUAUGAAACGCAACUUAUUUUCUGAUUUUUCUAAGUUUCGUGAUGAUUUGAAAUUUACAUAUUUUAGUUAAAAUGAAGCUCAAGUACAGCUUUGUAUUUGCCUGUCGAUUGUUGUGUGUUAUAAAACGCAAUAUAUUUGAUGUUUCUUGGUAAAAGUUAUAUAUUUUAGCUAACCAAAUUAAAGCUUAAUUGCAGCUUUUUAACUGCCCAUGGUUACUGUUAUAAAACGCAAAUGAUGUUUCUUGAUAAAAGUUAUAUAUUUUAAUUAACCAAAAUGAAGCUCAAUUGCAGCUUUUUAUGUGUCUGUCGAUUGGUGUCUGGUUAUAAAACGCAACUUAUUUGAUGUUUCUUGAUAAAAGUUACAUAUGUGCCAACUCAAGGGAAAGGGGAUCUUAGAGUAUUUUCUGGAAUUUCAAAAAAAAAUGUAUUUGUUUAAUAGAUCGACAUCUUGUGAAUAUAUCCUGAAAAUUUUAUGAAGUUAUCUCAAAGUUUAAAAAAAAAUACCAGUAAUUUAGGUUAACAAGGAUGAGCCAACUUUGGCCUUGCGUUAUGAAUGUUUCUAUAGUGGGUUAUUUAAACAAUCAAAGUCAUUAUUAAGUUGUUCUGGUAUCACUAUGUUCCUCAAUAAUAUCAUAUUCCCAUAUUGAAUUUUUCUUCACCUGGAAAUUGGUAUUCAUUCUAGGAGAAUCAUCACCAUUUUUUAAUUUCUGAAGGAUUUCAAAAACUGGUUACCAUGACAACAAAAAAUAUUUUUUACACUAAAUUGUAUCUUUAUAAUGCAGUUGAAUUAUACACCUACACGAAUAUGUACAGAUACACUGCUUACAGUUAUAUGUUUGCAAUAUUAAUUUUCUGCAAUUUUAUUUUCCUUAUUGCCAAUUAAACCCAAGUAACGCUGAUUUCCUUUAGGCUUGAGGCGGCUCGUAUCUUAGUUAACCAAAAUAAAGCACAGUUGCAGCUU
rnacentral:lncRNA from 1 species